GGAGGGGUGGCUGAGUGGACUAAAGCACCGGUCUUGAAAACCGGCGACGGGAAACCGUCCGGGGGUUCGAAUCCCUCCCCCUCCGCCA
rnacentral:tRNA from 1 species